rnacentral:lncRNA from 1 species
UGGUUCUGCAGAAAGUGAUUGGUGUUUAAAGUAAAAAAGACUUGGGUGGGUAGAGGAAGGAUCCACCCUGGAAAAUGAGAGAAGGGCAGCUCCAGAAACAACUCCAACCCUGUUUUCUAUUCCUGCCCCUGGCCCUGUAGGCUGGAUCUCUGUUUGAAGUGGAUUUCUCCUUGCUGGAUGGAGUCAAGCCUAAUGUCAUCAUUUUUAAGCAGCAAUGCGUGGCAGCCCCUUUGGUCAUGCUGAAGCUUCAGCCUGAUGGAGGACUCUUACCCAUGGUCAUCCAGCUCCAGCCACCUUGACACGGAUGUCCCCCACCUCUGCUCUUUCUGCCCUCGCAUCCCCCCAUGGCCUGGCUCCUGGCCAAGACCUGGGUCCGGAGCUCUGAUUUCCAGCUGCAGCAGUUACAGUCACAUCUGCUGAGGGGACACUUGAUUGCUGAGGUUAUUGCUGUGGCUACAAUGAGAAGCUUGCCUAGCCUCCAUCCUAUCUACAAGGUACUUCAGCAUCUCUGUCAUUCUGUAUCUGACUGUCCUUCAU